rnacentral:rRNA from 1 species
UGGGGAAUAUUGCACAAUGGGCGCAAGCCUGAUGCAGCCAUGCCGCGUGUGUGAAGAAGGCCUUCGGGUUGUAAAGCACUUUCAGCGAGGAGGAAGGGUAGUGUGUUAAUAGCACAUUGCAUUGGCGUUACUCGCAGAAGAAGCACCGGCUAACUCCGUGCCAGCAGCCGCGGUAAUACGGAGGGUGCAAGCGUUAAUCGGAAUUACUGGGCGUAAAGCGCACGCAGGCGGUUUGUUAAGUCAGAUGUGAAAUCCCCGCGCUUAACGUGGGAACUGCAUUUGAAACUGGCAAGCUAGAGUCUUGUAGAGGGGGGUAGAAUUCCAGGUGUAGCGGUGAAAUGCGUAGAGAUCUGGAGGAAUACCGGUGGCGAAGGCGGCCCCCUGGACAAAGACUGACGCUCAGGUGCGAAAGCGUGGGGAGCAAACA